UACGAGAGGUGCAAGCGUUAUUCGGAAUUAUUGGGCGUAAAGGGCGCGUAGGCGGUCUGUUAAGUUUAUUGUUAAAGCCUCUGGCUCAACUAGAGAUAAGCAAUAAAAACUGGCAAACUAGAGUGUGAGAGAGAGAAGUGGAAUUCCCGGAGUAGCGGUAAAAAUGCGUAGAUAUCGGGAGGAACACCUGUGGCGAAAGCGGCUCACUGGACCACAACUGACGCUGAGGCGCGAAAGCUAGGGGAGCAAACAGG
rnacentral:rRNA from 1 species